GCUUGGAAGCAGCCAUUCAUUUAAAGAGUGCGUAACAGCUCACUAGUCGAGGAGUCCGGCGUGGAUAAUACUCGGGCAUAAACUGUUUACCGAAGCUAUGGAUGUAGAAAUACAUGGUAGGGGAGCAUUCCAACGGCGUUGAAGGUGAAGGAUGACCUUUGCUGGAGCUUUUGGAAACGCAAAUGUAGGUAUAAGUAACGAUAAAGGAGGUGAGAAACCUCCUCGCCGAAAGACUAAGGUUUCCUGAUCAACGUUAAUCGGAUCAGGGUAAGUCGGGACCUAAGGUUAAGCCGAACGGCGAUACCGAUGGAAGAAUGGUUUAAUAUUCCCAUACUACUUUAUGGAGCGAUGUGGAGACGGAGAAGUGAAAGUCCUGCCAUCUGACGGAAUAGGUGGUUGAAGAGUGUAGAUGUAGAUUCCUGUAGGCAAAUCCGCAGGGAGAGUCGACCUUGACAGUAUGCCGCGUGCUUGCACAAGGCAAAAUGGACGUAAUCAGGCUCCCAAGAAAAUCCGCUAAGCAUAUUCAUAAAGUACCCGUACCGUAAACGGACACACGUAGUUGGGUUGAAAAUACUGAGGCGCUCGAGUGAUUCACGGUUAAGGAACUAGGCAAAUUGACCCUGUAACUUCGGGAUAAAGGGUCCUCGUCGUAAGGCGAGGCGCAGAGAAUAGGUCCAGGCAACUGUUUAACAAAAACACAUGGCUGUGCGAAAUAGAAAUAUGAAGUAUACAGCCUGACACCUGCCCGGUGCUGGAAGGUUAAGAGGAGAUGUCAUCGCAAGAGAAGCGUUGAAUUGAAGCCCCAGUAAACGGCGGCCGUAACUAUAACGGUCCUAAGGUAGCGAAAUUCCUUGUCGGGUAAGUUCCGACCUGCACGAAUGGUGUAAUGAUCUGGACACUGUCUCAACCGUGAGCUCGGUGAAAUUGUAGUAUCGGUGAAGAUGCCGAUUACCCGCGAUGGGACGAAAAGACCCCGUGAACCUUUACUAUAGCUUUACAUUGAAUUUGGGCAGACGAUGUGUAGGAUAGGCCGGAGGCUUUGAAGGGGGUACGCCAGUAUCCUUGGAGCCGCCGUUGAAAUACGGCCCUUCGGUUGUUUGAGUUCUAACUCCCGGACGGGAGGACACUGUAUGGUGGGUAGUUUGACUGGGGUGGUCGCCUCCAAAAGCGUAACGGAGGCUUCUAAAGGUGCCCUCAGACCGAUUGGUAACCGGUCGUAGAGUGUAAUGGCAUAAGGGCGCUUGACUGGGAGACAUACAAGUCGAUCAGGUAGGAAACUAGAGCAUAGUGAUCCGGUGGUUCCGCAUGGAAGGGCCAUCGCUCAAAGGAUAAAAGGUACUCCGGGGAUAACAGGCUGAUCCCUCCCAAGAGC
rnacentral:rRNA from 1 species